UGAACCUGCGGAUGGAUCAU
rnacentral:rRNA from 1 species